GCUGCCAUUGGCUAACAGGAGGCCAAAACAGACUCCUCUCCCGCCUGCAGCCACCCAGCCAGCAAACAAAGAGCUCACAGGAAACACCUGGAUGAGAGGGCAGCUGGCAAGGGGACCCGCAGGAAAGAAGAAAGGGUUUGCAGGAGGAAUUAGGCUGCUCUGCAAAGGAGUGGUGCAGAGAGAAAGCCAGAACUCUCCAGAACUCACCAGGCUUGCCCUUCCCAGCUUCCCCGUUUCUCUCUCUUCCUGGAAGGGAGAACGUGAUUCCUCAUGAUUCCACAGGUGGGCAGGAAGGAGCCACCUGCUAUAGGUCUUCUGAGUGUAACUGAAGAGAAAUACCAUGAGACACCAAGAAAGGAUUUGCAUCGGAAGAAAACGCUUAGUGAGUUGAGGAUGUUGGCUUCUCUACACCACACGGCUUCAUCUGCUACAUUUUUAUUAAAGUAACCAAAAAAAAAAAAAGAAAGAAAAAAGAAGCGCGUACAUUUGUCCAUAAAGCUGUACAUUCUUCCAUAUAAAAACACUAUUAUACAAUUAGUAACCUUUGUCUUUUCUGUCAGAAUAGCUUACCAACGUGCUAGUAUUUCUUUUUACUUAAUAGGAGAGACAGGCCUGCUCAACAGUCCAGCUCUGGGUGUUUUGCUGUUUUUUAAAGUGAACGUUAAAAAAAAAAAAAAAUAAGAAAGAAAGAGAGAGAGAAGAGAGAAAAGAUUAAGCAGGAGACCAUGAGGCUGCUUCUUUUUUAAAAAGGCAGGGAUCUGUUUGCAGACAGGAUGCAACAAUGCCACGUCCAGUGAUUCACAGCUUUGUCUCAACCCACAGGCCAGAAAAUGAGCUCUUGGGUCUGUGGGUCUGAAGUUAGCUUUAAAGCAAUAAAGGCUGGAAGCAGGGUCUGGGAAGGCAGCUUGGAGUCUAGAGUUGAAAAGAAGGCAGGACUGGCAGGACUGGGUAGGGACAGUGUUUGGUAAAUAGCACCUUUGAAUCAGAAGUGAGUGGUUAAGAAAUUCAGGGAAGGGGACGGGCUGUGGAGUGGGGGACCCUCGGGCAGGGAAGAAAGUUUCCUCACUAAGGGGCGACAGCCUGGUGGGCUGGACAGGAGGGUAGCCAGGUAGACUGGACGCUCUAGCUACGUCCUUCUAAAGUGAUUUUGAGUUUGGGAAACUCAAGGCCUUCUGAGGACCCCCUCACUAAUGUCACUGAAAAACCGAAGGAAGGCGAUUUCUUCCCAGUA